UCAAGGACAAAGUCGCUGCGGUUGCGCGACAAGCCAUCAAUUAUUUUUACUGCUACUAGAUUACUCUGACACGCGCUGACCCGCGCUCAUAUCGUGUUGCGGUACUGCCUAUCGAGGUUAUGUGGAAAGUUUUUGCCGAAAUCGCCGUUAUUUCAUCAGCGUCAUUAAAUAAUAGAUAGAUUGUGGAAAGUGCAAGAGACCGACGAGUACAUCGUUUGAAAUAGCGAAAGAACUGCAAGGUGAAUUCUCAGCUAGUAAUAUCUCGCCGUCGCCAUCGUCAUCGCCAGCAUUCCAUCGAGAUAACGCUAUUAUGCGAAUUCGUGUGAUUUGCAUAUUUCGGGAAGUAUAAGAAUAUUGACAAAGCAGACGCAAAUAUGCCAGCAAUUGCAGACUCCUAUUUUGCAGACCCUAUUUUAAUUAUCAGAGGAAACUCGCUUUAUGAUUCUAAUGCUACAUAUAACGUCGUCAUCAAAAGAAAGAUAAUGAUUUUUUGCGAUGACGUUUUCCAAGGAAUUUUGAUCAGCUUUUUAGCAUAUUAUAUAUUUGGAAUUUGCUACCCAAAAAAAGCUGAGAGACGUUAGAGUUUAUCCAAAGGUAACUGAAAUUUAAUUAUUUACUAUUCAUAUAAUA